AUGAAAAGGCCUGCUGAAUUCAUCAGCCGCUAUUGUCAGAUGAAAUGUAUAGAGUUAUUACAUCUUGAUCAUUUGGGACCACUUGAUGAUGCAAAAAGCCUCAUAACAAUUGGGCCUGGCUGUCAGUCGGACAUGAUUGGCAGGGAUGGGGAGGAGCACUUGAGAAUGGAGGGGAUUAGAAACGCUGCUGCUGGAAGUGGGAUUAUUGGUGGUAAUUCAUGGUCAAGGAUGCAUUUGAGGUACAAACUUACAGAGAAAAGGAAGCACAAAAGGUUCAAGAGUUUUGCUCUUCUUAAGGGAAUUCUUUUAAGAGUUUAA